GGGAACUUCUGAAGUCGGUUCGCCAGGACGACCCGGUACGGUACAAUGUUCGCCUGAUUGUCAAUUUGUAUUCGAGAACUGUCACGCCGUCAUCCCGAUACUCGUUAUCAGCGUUACCAACGUUCUUGCGUAAUAUCUGUCCUCGCGUAUAUAUUAAAACCAUCGAAGUUUUCAUCGAGAGAGCGAUCGCGGCAUUUUCUCGGUUUUCCAACAUGUCAAUGGAUCUGCCACAACAUGCAUUACUCGAUAUGAUUACGGCUGACAUGACUAUAUACAUGUAAAAAAACGACAACGUUGCGACAACAGCGAUAUUACUGCAACGCCAAAUAAUUCUUUCCCGUACAGCUUCACAUCCGUGUUUAAUCGGAAAAAGUCACUCUCGGCUUAAAACUUUAUUCGAAAAUCUUGUUGAAAAUUUUUUAUUAAAUUUUACAAAUCUUUACAAUACCGGACGUUGACGCGGCGCCUGUCUCAUUGCGCAAGCCGCACAAAAUGAUAACGAAAGCGAAUACAAGAGACAGCGUGCGGAAACUGAACGACGACGGUUACGACUAUCAGGAGAAUGCUUCGAUAUUGGCUGCUAGCCCAUUCCGAUCCGAAUAUCCACUAGAGACGAGUGUCCGCGCGGAUCUGCGAGCCAUUAGGGAAGGACCACCUCGUGGAAUAUUGCCUCGGCACCGCCGCAUAUCGGCACGAGUGCCGAUUGCAGUCGCACGACGCUGCAAGCUGCAACCUGCUGCAGCCUGUGUCCGAAGGGCGGAAAAUUGAAAUUGAGCCUCCAAUGCAUCGCCGCGCAACGCGGUCGAAUAUAUUCGCAGCAUCAGCAGAUUCGUCGUCUCUUAUACCCGGCGAAAUGUUUUAUUUCGUAUAAUUCCACGUGAUAAAAUGACUUUUUCCUCUCCACCGAUAAUAUCACGAAAUUUUACGUGCUUCAAGUGUCUCUACAGAAACUUUGCUUACACGUACACAUUCAUGUGAAAUGUGUGACGAGGAAGGAACGCCGAAAGCGCAGAAAAGCAGGAACGACAGAAUCAAUAUUGGUCGCUCCUGAUAUUUGUUUGGGAUGCGACUGGGAACCGGAUUGCGCGUCGGAAUCCGGCAACACAGAAUGAAAAGGACACAAUCUCAAUCGAUUCGGGACAGGGAUCCUUUCGUCUAAUCGAAAACGUCGACGUUCUCCGGCCAUGAGGUACCAAUAUUGAGAAACUGAGUGCCGAAUAACUGCACAACGGGAAAGAAAUAUCUCAAUCGUAUUACAUAUUAUAUAUACAUUUAUAUGAUAAAGUACCUUAGACGCAGGCACCCUUUUUCGAGCCAGACAUACUUUGGAAUGCCUACAUUUGUAUCUAUAGUGGCGGUCGUAAAUUUUGUACGAGCAAAUUGCCAUAUGACCACACACAUACAAUGAAAAAUAGCAAAUUAGAUGGGAUUGUAUCAAGAAAGCAAAUAUAAUUUGGAAAGAUUUAAUCGUAACAAUGAUGCAUCCCACGCGUGAUUGCCAAACGCCAAACUUCGGGCAUGUCUAAAGCGUAAAACUAUUGUCUACGAUUCCAGGACGGCCGUGUAAACUGUUCUUGGCACGCGAACCCGGAAUGAAACGGAGCGUGACCGAGAAGAUGCCCUCGCUCACGUUCGCCAAUGAAGCCGAUAUUCCUCGUUCUUUGUCUCGCACGAUAAAGAUGAUAAUGCCGCCAAGGCUCCGACGUGUCUCGGUUCUAAUCUACAUGUUAUUGGCUAGCUAAGUUGUCAGACGACAGUGAGAUGAGUUUAAUAACAUAGCUAUAUACAAGAUGAAAAAGCUAAUCCCCCUCUGAUCAUAAAUGUACAUUUUUUCUUUGUUCGUAUUUUGAGAAAAUUAAUUGUAAAAAUAUCUACUUUU